rnacentral:rRNA from 1 species
AAUUAAGAGUUUGAUCCUAGCUCAGGAUGAACGCUAGCGGUAUGCUUAACACAUGCAAGUCGUACGGAAAAGUAAUUUUUAGUGGCGAACGGGUGAGUAACACGUGAGAAUUUGCCUUUAGGAAGAGGAUAACUAUUAGAGAUAAUAGCUAAUACUCUAUAUGCCGUUUGGUGAAAGAAGUAAUUCGCCUAAAGAGAAGCUCGCGUCUGAUUAGCUAGUUGGUAGGGUAAAGGCCUACCAAGGCGACGAUCAGUAGCUGGUUUGAGAGGAUGAUCAGCCACAUUGGAACUGAGACACGGUCCAGACUCCUACGGGAGGCAGCAGUGAGGAAUUUUCUGCAAUGGGCGAAAGCCUGACAGAGCAAUACCGCGUGAGGGACGACGGCCUAUGGGUUGUAAACCUCUUUUCUCAAGGAGGAAGAUCUGACGUUACUUGAGGAAUAAGCAUCGGCUAACUCUGUGCCAGCAGCCGCGGUAAGACGGAGGAUGCAAGUGUUAUCCGGAAUUAUUGGGCGUAAAGCGUCUGCAGGUGGACUUAAAAGUCUUUUGUUAAAACUCUGGGCUCAACCCAGAAUCUGCAAAGGAAACUAUUUGUCUUGAGUAUGGUAGAGGUAAAGGGAAUUUCCAGUGGAGCGGUGAAAUGCGUAGAUAUUGGAAAGAACACCAACAGCGAAGGCACUUUACUGGGCCAGUACUGACACUGAGAGACGAAAGCUAGGGUAGCAAACGGGAUUAGAUACCCCGGUAGUCCUAGCUGUAAACGAUGGAUACUAGAUGUUGUGUAUUUUUUAAUAUGCAGUGUCGUAGCUAACGCGUUAAGUAUCCCGCCUGGGGAGUAUGCUCGCAAGGGUGAAACUCAAAGGAAUUGACGGGGGCCCGCACAAGCGGUGGAGCAUGUGGUUUAAUUCGAUCAACGCGAAGAACCUUACCAGGGUUUGACAUGAUACGAAUUUCUUUGAAAGAAGAAAGUGCCGUUUGGAACGUAUACACAGGUGGUGCAUGGCUGUCGUCAGCUCGUGUCGUGAGAUGUUGGGUUAAGUCCCGCAACGAGCGCAACCCUUAUUUUUAGUUGCCUUUAUGGAACUCUAGAAAGACUGCCGGUUAUAAACCGGAGGAAGGCGGGGAUGACGUCAAGUCAGCAUGCCCCUUACACCCUGGGCUACACACGUGCUACAAUGGGCGAGACAAUGAGACGCAAAUCUGCGAAGACUAGCUAAUCUAUAAACUCGUUCUAAGUUCGGAUUGCAGGCUGCAACUCGCCUGCAUGAAGUUGGAAUCGCUAGUAAUCGCUGGUCAGCUAUACAGCGGUGAAUUCGUUCCCGGGCCUUGUACACACCGCCCGUCACACCAUG